rnacentral:rRNA from 1 species
GACGAACGCUGGCGGCGUGCUUAACACAUGCAAGUCGAACGGAAAGGCCCUGCUUUUGUGGGGUUCUCGAGUGGCGAACGGGUGAGUAACACGUGAGUAACCUGCCCUUGACUUUGGGAUAACUUCAGGAAACUGGGGCUAAUACCGGAUAGGAGCUCCUGCUGCAUGGUGGGGGUUGGAAAGUUUCGGCGGUUGGGGAUGGACUCGCGGCUUAUCAGCUUGUUGGUGGGGUAGUGGCUUACCAAGGCUUUGACGGGUAGCCGGCCUGAGAGGGUGACCGGCCACAUUGGGACUGAGAUACGGCCCAGACUCCUACGGGAGGCAGCAGUGGGGAAUAUUGCACAAUGGGCGGAAGCCUGAUGCAGCAACGCCGCGUGCGGGAUGACGGCCUUCGGGUUGUAAACCGCUUUCGCCUGUGACGAAGCGUGAGUGACGGUAAUGGGUAAAGAGGCACCGGCUAACUACGUG